rnacentral:rRNA from 1 species
UACGUAGGGUGCAAGCGUUGUCCGGAAUUAUUGGGCGUAAAGAGCUCGUAGGCGGUCUGUUGCGUCGGCUGUGAAAACCCGGGGCUCAACCCCGGGCCUGCAGCCGAUACGGGCAGACUAGAGUUCGGCAGGGGAGACUGGAAUUCCUGGUGUAGCGGUGAAAUGCGCAGAUAUCAGGAGGAACACCGAUGGCGAAGGCAGCUCGCUGGGACGGUACUGACGCUGAGACGCGAAAGCGUGGGGAGCAAACAGG